GAGCCGCUUCUUCGGCGGGCAGGGUACGGGUGCCGGGCCCGGAGGAUCGAGGUGGGACUGGGGCUGGGAUCGGGACCGGCACCGCCGCGAGCGGGAAGAGCCGCUCCGGGACAGGCGCUGCCGCUCCGGCUGCGGCCGGCGCGGGGCCGGGUCCCGCCGGGGCUCCAGGCAUGCUCCGGCUGCGGUGGUAGGGAGCCGGUGCUGUGCCACUGCUAUGCCCGCAAGGAGGACCACACUUCACGGGAGGAGCUGCUGGAUCGCGGCUGGAAGCGGGAAGGACACGGAGACCGCCCGUACCGGCCCCGGAACCCCAUCGGCACCGCCGCUCACUCAGCGCCGCCGGCCCCCGGGCCCGGGCCGUGAGGAUCAUCGAGUCAAAUGCUGAGCAGUGAUGAGCCCAGCUGUGCAUCGAACACAGAAUUUUGGUCUUCUCAGCACCCUGCUCCAAAUACCUGAGCCAAUCCCAGGGUUGUUCCAAAGGUCCUGUGUGGGAUGGGAAUGAUUGCUGCCAGAUUUACCCAGCAGCUGUACAUGUGCUCCUGCAAUGUCCCUGUGUUUCCCCAGGAAGAAGUGAACAAGACAAGUCCUGAGGGUCACCUUGCUCUGUGGCCCAAGCUCUUCUGGAGAGCGCCAGGGGGCGUUUCCUGCAGGGGAGGAGCUGUGCCUGCACCGUGGCUCCUCGGCCAGGGGCUGCUCUGACCGGGCACGUGGAAAUGCCUCAGCCCAGACAGAGAGCACCAAGAGCCCAGAAGGACCCCAAGGAGCAGCUGGCAUUACCUGGGAAUGGAGGCAGGGGCCGUUUGCAGAGGGGCUCACACAGCAAUUCCUGGUUCAGAGCUCCCACACAGCUGCCAGGGAUGUCCCAGCCACCCCAAAUCCCUUCCCUCCUCCCCAGCCUGAGGCCAUCAUCCAGCAGCAGCAUUAAAGCCAAGGCAAUCUUCCCCCACAGAUAUUAAAUCCCAGGCAGCAGCCCUCAGACAUACCUGAAAAUCAGUGGGAUGGAGUUUGGAGUUUCUCAGGGAUCCAGCUGCAAGUGCAGAAGUGAAGGAAAGCUUUCACAGGUAGCUCCCACUGGAGGUGUGCUGAAGACAGAGAUGUCCAUCCCUUUCCUGAGAGAAAAGAAUUUGUAGAGGCCACUGCUGAGGCUCUGAAAGGAGCUGAGCUCCUGCAGGGAGAGAUGUCCCCCCCUGGGCACAGGGGCUGCCUCAGCACAGGCUGGGAGCACAUCUGGCCACUGCCUUCUCCUGCUUUAAAACAUCAACUGGAUGUUCUCCAUCCUGGAGCUCAGGGGGUGAAAUCAGCUCAGUUCCAGGCAGCUCUGUCCAGUGACCCCAGGGACACCAUUGGGGUGAGGGUUCUAAAUAGCCAGUUCUAUGGAAUAUGACCCUGUCCUUGUCCCUGUGCUGCUGAGCUGCCUUGGAAGCUCUGCUGGCUCCUGGCACAGCUGCUGUCCAAGGCAGCAGCUCUGCAUGGGAACACCCACACUCCAUGGAGCACUGUGAGGUUACUGCAGCGGGAA